CUAGUGGUCAGAAAGGGAGAGAAGAUCCCAAAGGUUGAGAAGGAAGGAAAAGGAAAGAAAGUUCCUAAGGGCAGGAAAGGAAGGGGAAGUCGGAGAGAGAAAAGAGAGAGGUUUCGCGGUGGCUGUUCGACUCGACCACUUUUGUCUCCCGCGGGCCACCGUCGAGGCCUCCAAGCGUCACGGCCGGCGUGGGCGCGAAGCAUUGUGGGUAGCAGCGGAUCGGACUGCAUCUCCGGAAGAUGGCGGACGCCUUCGGGGAUGAGCUCUUCAGCGUGUUCGAGGACGACUCCACCGCUGCGCCUGGAAGCAGGAAGGACAAGGACAAGGGGAAAUGGAAGGGGCCUCCGGGGCCGGCGGAGAAGGCCGGGAAACGUUCUGAUGGGAAUUUACAAUCCGAGUCAACCAGUGUUGGAAAAGCCAAGAGAAAUGUGGAUUUUGAAGGCACAGAUGAACCCAUUUUUGGAAAGAAGCCCAGGGUAGAAGAGUCAAUAACUGAAGACUUAAGCUUGGCUGACUUGAUGCCCAGGGUGAAGGUGCAGUCAGUUGAAACUGUUGAAGGGUGUACACAUGAGGUUGCACUUCCUGCAGAUGAAGAUUAUAUACCACUUAAACCACGAGUUGGAAAAGCUGCAAAGGAAUACCCGUUCAUUCUUGACGCUUUUCAGAGAGAAGCCAUCCAGUGUGUUGACAAUAAUCAGUCUGUUUUAGUGUCUGCACAUACGUCAGCCGGAAAAACUGUUUGCGCCGAGUAUGCCAUCGCAUUGGCCUUAAGGGAAAAACAGCGUGUGAUAUUUACCAGCCCGAUUAAGGCUCUGAGUAACCAGAAGUACCGUGAAAUGUAUGAAGAAUUUCAAGAUGUGGGUCUGAUGACGGGAGAUGUUACUAUUAAUCCUACAGCAUCUUGUCUUGUUAUGACCACAGAGAUUUUGAGAAGUAUGCUGUACAGAGGUUCUGAAGUUAUGCGCGAGGUUGCUUGGGUCAUAUUCGAUGAAAUUCAUUACAUGAGAGAUUCAGAGCGUGGUGUGGUGUGGGAAGAAACUAUCAUUCUGCUUCCUGAUAAUGUCCACUAUGUCUUUCUCUCGGCGACUAUUCCAAAUGCCCGGCAGUUUGCUGAAUGGAUUUGCCAUUUACAUAAGCAGCCUUGCCAUGUGAUUUACACGGACUACCGGCCUACUCCGCUGCAGCACUACAUCUUCCCGGCGGGGGGAGACGGCCUGCACCUUGUGGUUGAUGAGAACGGUGACUUCCGAGAAGAUAACUUCAACACCGCAAUGCAAGUUCUCCGCGAGGCAGGGGAUCUGGCAAAAGGAGAUCAGAAGGGUCGAAAAGGAGGGACAAAAGGACCAUCAAAUGUGUUCAAGAUUGUGAAGAUGAUUAUGGAAAGAAAUUUUCAACCUACUCUCGCUCUCUGCAUGUUAGAAGUGGGUGUCGCUGACUCAGUAAGAUACUUAUGUGCCUCUGGGUGUUCUCUCUUAGAUGAAGAAAAGAAGAUGGUGGAAGAAGUAUUCAGUAAUGCGAUUGACUGCUUGUCGGAUGAAGAUAAAAAGCUCCCUCAGGUUGAACAUGUGCUUCCUCUUUUGAAGCGGGGGAUUGGCAUCCACCACGGUGGCUUACUUCCUAUUUUGAAAGAAACGAUAGAAAUCCUCUUUUCUGAAGGAUUGAUAAAGGCGUUGUUUGCGACGGAGACCUUUGCCAUGGGGAUUAACAUGCCGGCUAGGACAGUUUUAUUUACAAAUGCCCGGAAAUUUGAUGGGAAAGACUUUCGAUGGAUUUCUUCCGGUGAAUACAUUCAGAUGUCUGGUCGUGCCGGAAGGAGGGGCAUGGAUGACAGAGGAAUCGUGAUUCUUAUGGUUGACGAAAAGAUGAGCCCAACUAUUGGGAAGCAACUGCUUAAGGGCUCAGCCGACCCCCUGAAUAGCGCUUUCCAUUUAACCUACAACAUGGUUCUGAACUUGCUGCGUGUGGAAGAAAUCAAUCCCGAGUACAUGCUGGAGAAGUCCUUCUACCAGUUUCAGCAUUACAGAGCCAUUCCCGGGGUGGUGGAGAAGGUGCGGAACUCGGAAGAACAAUAUAAUAAAAUAGUGAUACCCAAUGAAGAAAGCGUGGUCAUCUAUUACAAGAUCAGGCAGCAGCUUGCCAAGCUGGGUAAAGAAAUUGAAGAAUAUAUUCACAAACCAAAAUAUUGCUUACCAUUUCUACAACCAGGUCGUUUGGUAAAGGUAAAGAAUGAAGGAGAUGAUUUUGGCUGGGGAGUAGUCGUGAAUUUCUCCAAAAAGUCAAAUGUUAAGCCCAACUCCGGGGAGCUCGACCCGCUGUAUGUGGUGGAAGUGCUUCUGCGCUGCAGCCGAGAAAGCUUGAAAAACUCCGCUACGGAGGCUGCAAAGCCGGCCAAGCCCGAGGAGAAGGGGGAGAUGCAGGUUGUUCCAGUCUUGGUGCAUCUCCUGUCUGCUAUCAGCAGUGUUAGGCUCUACAUUCCCAAAGACCUUCGACCCCUGGACAACAGACAGAGUGUUCUAAAGUCGAUACAGGAAGUUCAAAAACGGUUUCCGGAUGGUGUUCCCUUAUUGGACCCUAUCGAUGACAUGGGCAUUCAAGACCAGGGCCUGAAGAAGGUCAUCCAGAAAGUGGAGGCGUUCGAGCACCGCAUGUACUCUCACCCGCUUCACAACGACCCGAACCUGGAGACCGUGUACACGCUCUGUGAGAAGAAAGCGCAGAUCGCCAUAGAUAUUAAAUCUGCAAAGCGAGAACUCAAGAAAGCAAGAACAGUCCUGCAGAUGGAUGAACUCAAGUGUCGCAAACGCGUGCUGCGGCGCCUGGGGUUUGCCACUUCCUCCGACGUCAUAGAGAUGAAGGGACGAGUGGCCUGUGAGAUCAGCAGUGCCGACGAGCUCCUGCUCACCGAGAUGAUGUUCAACGGCCUGUUCAACGACCUGUCCGCGGAGCAGGCCACCGCCCUGCUGAGCUGCUUCGUGUUCCAAGAGAACUCCAGUGAGAUGCCCAAGCUCACCGAGCAGUUGGCGGGGCCCCUUCGCCAGAUGCAGGAAUGUGCUAAACGAAUUGCAAAAGUUUCAGCAGAAGCCAAACUGGAAAUUGAUGAGGAAACCUACCUGAGCUCAUUCAAACCUCACUUAAUGGAUGUAGUGCACACCUGGGCCACGGGGGCGACAUUUGCCCACAUCUGCAAAAUGACAGAUGUCUUUGAAGGCAGCAUCAUCCGCUGCAUGCGGCGCCUGGAAGAGCUGCUGAGGCAGAUGUGUCAGGCGGCGAAAGCCAUCGGGAACACGGAGCUGGAGAACAAGUUCGCGGAAGGAAUCACCAAAAUCAAGAGAGACAUUGUGUUUGCCGCCAGCCUCUACCUGUAGGAGCCAUAGGACGUGGGGUGGCCCGUCGGCCUCCUGUCGGGUGGCAGAUGACCACAUGCACGAGCAGCGCUCGGCUCGCCCUCCCCCGACAGUUGUCCUCAGACAUGAACACACGUCAUUUGAAUCAAGCACCAUGGCAGACAUUUGUACAUAGCAUUGCGUUUUUAAUAAAAAUGUACAGGUGAGGCAUGUUGAAAGGCUGACAUUUCUUCGUGGACUUGGAGCUUGGACAGCCGCCGUGUUGGGGAACUAUGUACACACAGGGAAGUGAGCGUGGGGAUAGCAGCAGAGUCCCUCCCGGGCUGUGCACACCGGACGCGCCCUCGUCUCUGGGCAGCACCCUUCUCCCUCGGGCCUCGCGCCUUCAGGGCUGAUUGUUCCGGAAGUGAUUCUCCCCCGAGGCCGUUUCAUGCAGGUUUGUGUGAGAAGCCUCCUCCUUUCUUUCCUUAAAAGAAUUUCUCUCCUUGAAGAAAUCUGAUACAUACACCACCUACAGGGAACAGAUUAUACUCAGAAUAAGGUUAGAAGCCAUAGGCAAAGUUUCAGCAAGCCGUGUGCAGAACUGACUCUGGAGAGCAGGACACGCAUUAUGGGUAGGACUAAGGGCACAGCCAUCAUGCUACCAGGCAUGUCUGUCCACGGGAUUCAUCCCGUGGAGCUGCGUUUUAUGUUGGGGGCAAAGAGCCUCACUCUGAUGGCAACUGUUAUUCUUCAUGUAAAUUUGCUUUUUUCCAAUUCAUUACCAACAAGAAGACGGCUGUAGUCGGAGCCUUUCACAAGGAGCACACGGGGACUCUGGCGUCCAUCCGUGGCCACCCUGACGUGACUGGGCAGCCCUGCACUCUGGCCUCGACCCCGGCGGGCAUGCGCCCUGCCACCACGGUCUCACAGGACGUCUCUCCACUCAAUGGCCACGUGCCAUCGCCGCAGGCGUGCCUGCCGCCUGGUACUCACCACCAGCACGGCCACCAGCGCCCCCUGGACGAGCCCCGUCAGCACGUCGCUCCAGUGGUGCUUGUAGUCGGACACGCGAGAAAGGCCCACAUAGAUGGACGUGGCCACGAGGCCGAACUGCAGUGUGGGCCGCAGGAGCCUCGCCCAGUCCGCCCGCAUCCUGGCCUGAAGGUAGAGCUAACAGAGAGAUCGUGUCAACAUGCAGCUGAAAUGACUUCACGUCAGGUGUCCCCUGGCCUCUACAGGGCUGGUGUGUCUCAAAUGACCCGCAGACAUUAAAUAUCAGUCAUUAAAUAGCCGAUAUUUUUAUCACAUAUGGAAUAAGGCUUCAGGCAAGCGUCCUAAAAGUUCACCCUUUUAAGCAGAACAAAACAAACUACUACCCAGGAACUUCUCAGGAUUUACUGCCUCCGCAGGCCGCCGCCUCACCCGUGUCCCAGGGCAGAGGGCGCCUUUGGACUAGGGUUUCAGCCCCGCAGUCUGUCCGGGGCUCACACGAAGGCGCGGAGGCCAGCGCUGCUGACAGUGCGUCUUGGGCUGAGCCUCCCCCGCCAGCCUGUCUAGAGCAAGUCGGCUUAAUGCUCAGCAACUGACACCCGGGGGCUCCACUGCCUCGGCUCACUCACAGGUCUAGGUCACACCACACUCAGGCCCGGGCACCGGCCAGGCCACCCAGGGCCUGAGGAAGAUCCCCCCCUGGCGCUGGGACUGUCCACAGCGAGGGCACAGCGGCUGCGGAAGGAGCCGAGCUGCAAACCAAGUCUCUAAGGAAAGAGCACGUCAGACACUCUGCUCCCACGGCGCUUCCCUGAGGACGGUCCCCGCUCACCGCCGGAACGCCUGGCUCCGGCUGACGUGGACUCUAGAAGCCCUUCUCCUCUGCUGCCCCGAGCUCGGCAGACCGAUGCACACGGCAGCACACGGACUGGUACCAGCUGGCACUACAGUCACAGUUUAGCAGAAACCCUCGACACGCGGUCUGCCCCAAGGUCCAAGUCGGGAGGGUCCCCCGCAGUGCCGCUCCCGCUAGGCUGACACGCUGGUGUUCACGCACGACCACUCCCAGUUCUCAUGAGCCCAGGGAGCCCGAAGGCCACGCCUCUGCUCUCUGCGGAGCACGGCCCCCAGGCAGGUGGGAAGGAGCGGCACGUCCCUAUUUCCCGUAUCCUCCCUGAACACUGGCGCCCGCGUUCAUUUCUCUGGGGCAGCCAUUUUGCCGUAGCGUGAACUCGGUAGAGGUCAAGGUGCUCACAAGGUUCCCAAAGCCAUAUUCUCAUAAGAAAAACCCGACUAGAGCUGACUGCUAACUGACCCUACGCACCUCCCACUGUCUGCAUUCAGGCUCCAACACAAGCACAGCCCUUCCCCAGGCUCAGCCUCCCACCACACCACCCCCGCACGAGCAGGUUUCUUCUGUUUACAGAGAUCCACCACGUCUAGAACUCGCUUCACUUGCGAGAACUCUAUGCAUAACACAUUGCAUGUUUCUGAACUGCUUUAAAUUUUCAAAGAGCUCUUCUCUCUUGGAGUAAGAUAUCUAGUACAGAAAUUGAAUCCACAUCUGAUUAGUGCCUAAAACUUGGUAGGUUUUAUGUCCUUAUUCUCAGAAAAAAUUCACAUUUAUAGGCCCAAAUACAUUGGAAAAUGUUUUUAGCAGGCAUAUUAAAUUGUGUGUUUUUUUCCCCUUUGACCACAGAAACUAUGUUAGAAAUUAUUCUUAGAUUUAGAAAAAUAUUUGUGGGUGUUUUUAGAAUAGGAGGAAACAAAAUAAAGUCAUAUACAUGUAUAA